rnacentral:rRNA from 1 species
GCAUGCCAUUCCCAAUUCUAACAGCUUCAGAAAGGAAUGGACAAGAAUAACAAUACAGGCAGUUAAAAGCUUUGUAAUUGGAACGUAGAAAUUUAAACACUUUUUAAAGUAUCAAUUGGAGGGCAAGUCUGGUGCCAGCAGCCGCGGUAAUUCCAGCUCCAAUAGCGUAUAUUAAAAUUGUUGCAGUUAAAAAGCUCGUAGUUGAAUUUCUGCUAAAAAUAACCGGUCUGCUUUUAAUAAAGGUGGUAUCUUGGUGUGUUUUUAGCAAUAAUGUCCUUUGAAAUGUUUUUUACUUCAUUGUAAUAAAUUAUAUUUAGGAUUUUUACUUUGAGAAAAUUAGAGUGUUUCUAGCAGGCUAAUGCUUUGAAUACUGCAGCAUGGAAUAAUAAAAUAGGAUUUUGGUUCUACAUUAUUGGUUUAAAAAGCUAAAUUAAUGAUUGAUAGGGACAGUUGGGCAAUUUUUGUGUAUAU